rnacentral:rRNA from 1 species
UACGGAGGGUGCAAGCGUUAAUCGGAAUUACUGGGCGUAAAGCGUGCGUAGGCGGUUCGUUAAGUCUGUUGUGAAAGCCCCGGGCUCAACCUGGGAAUGGCAAUGGAUACUGGCGAGCUAGAGUGUGUCAGAGGAUGGUGGAAUUCCCGGUGUAGCGGUGAAAUGCGUAGAGAUCGGGAGGAACAUCAGUGGCGAAGGCGGCCAUCCGGGACAACACUGACGCUGAGGCACGAAAGCGUGGGGAGCAAACGGG